GACGAACGCUGGCGGCGUGCCUAAUACAUGCAAGUCGAACGCAGUGGGGACGGGUGAGUAUCACGUGGGUAACCUCCCAUCAGAGGGGAUAACACUUGGAAACAUGUGCUAUCCCGAUACUUAUGGAUGGACCCGCGGUGCAUUAGCUAGUUGGUGAGGUAACGGCUCACCAAGGCCACGAUGCAUAGCCGACCUGAGAGGGGGAUCGGCCAAACUGGAACUGAGAAACGGCCCAGACUCCUACGGGAGGCAGCAGUGGGGAAUCUUCGGCAAUGGACGAAAGUCGGACCGAGCAACGCCGCGUGGGUGAAGAAGGUUUUCGGAUGGUAAAACUCUGUUAUUGGGGAGGCGGUAUCUAAACAGAAAGCCACGGCUAACUACGUGCCAGCAGCCGCGGUAAUAC
rnacentral:rRNA from 1 species